GUGAACGCUGGCGGUAGGCCUAACACAUGCAAGUCGAACGGCAGCACAGUAAGAGCUUGCUCUUACGGGUGGCGAGUGGCGGACGGGUGAGGAAUACAUCGGAAUCUACUUUUUCGUGGGGGAUAACGUAGGGAAACUUACGCUAAUACCGCAUACGACCUACGGGUGAAAGCAGGGGAUCUUCGGACCUUGCGCGAUUGAAUGAGCCGAUGUCGGAUUAGCUAGUUGGCGGGGUAAAGGCCCACCAAGGCGACGAUCCGUAGCUGGUCUGAGAGGAUGAGCGGCCACACUGGAGCUGAGACACGGUCCAGACUCCUACGGGAGGCAGCAGUGGGGAAUAUUGGACAAUGGGCGCAAGCAUGAUACAGCCAUACCGCGUGGGUGAAGAAGGCCUUCGGGUUGUAAAGCCCUUUUGUUGGGAAAGAAAAGCAGCAGGUUAAUACCCCGCUGUUCUGACGGUACCCAAAGAAUAAGCACCGGCUAACUUCGUG
rnacentral:rRNA from 1 species